rnacentral:rRNA from 1 species
UAAUACGGAGGGUGCAAGCGUUAUCCGGAUUCACUGGGUUUAAAGGGUGCGUAGGUGGGCAGGUAAGUCAGUGGUGAAAUCUCCGGGCUUAACCCGGAAACUGCCGUUGAUACUAUCUGUCUUGAAUAUUGUGGAGGUAAGCGGAAUAUGUCAUGUAGCGGUGAAAUGCUUAGAUAUGACAUAGAACACCAAUUGCGAAGGCAGCUUACUACACAGUUAUUGACGCUGAGGCACGAAAGCGUGGGGAUCAAACAGGAUUAGAUACCCUGGUAGUCCACGCCCUAAACGAUGAUUACUCGACAUCAGCGAUACACUGUUGGUGUCUGAGCGAAAGCAUUAAGUAAUCCACCUGGGAAGUACGAUCGCAAGAUUG